UAGAGACCAACUAAGUUUGUUCUGGGUAUAAGCUUUUGUGUGCAUGCACACUUCUUCCGAUAUACACAUGAAAGCUUAUACCCAGAACAAACUUAGUUGGUCUCUA